rnacentral:rRNA from 1 species
UACGUAGGGUGCGAGCGUUUAAUCGGAAUUACUGGGCGUAAAGCGUGCGCAGGCGGUUAUAUAAGACAGUUUGUGAAAUCCCCGGGCUCAACCUGGGAACUGCAUCUGUGACUGUAUAGCUAGAGUACGGUAGAGGGGGGAUGGAAUUCCGCGUGUAGCAGUGAAAUGCGUAGAUAUGCGGAGGAACACCGAUGGCGAAGGCAAUCCCCUGGACCUGUACUGACGCUCAUGCACGAAAGCGUGGGGGG